rnacentral:rRNA from 1 species
UACCAGCUCUCCGAGUGGUAGGGACGAUUAUUGGGCUUAAAGCGUCCGUAGCCGGCUUAGCAAGUCUCCUGUUAAAUUCAGCGACCUAAUCGUUGAGCCGCGGGAGACACUACUAGGCUAGGAGGCGGGAGAGGCCGACGGUAUUCUCGGGGUAGGGGUGAAAUCCUAUAAUCCCGGGAGGACCACCAGUGGCGAAGGCUGUCGGCUAGAACGCGCUCGACGGUGAGGGACGAAAGCUGGGGGGAGCGGACCGGAUUAGAUACCCGGGUAGUCCCAGCUGUAAACGAUGCGGGCUAGGUGUUGGGGUGGCUACGUGCCACUUCAGUGCCGCAGGGAAGCCAUUAAGCCCGCCGCCUGGGGAGUACGGCCGCGAGGCUAGAAACUUAAAGGAAUUGGGCGGGGGAGCACCACAAGGCGUGAAGCGUUGCGGUUC